rnacentral:rRNA from 1 species
AUUUGGCGGACGGGUGAGUAACGCGUGGGAAUCUACCUAGCUCUACGGAAUAACCCAGGGAAACUUGGACUAAUACCGUAUACGUCCUUCGGGAGAAAGAUUUAUCGGAGUUGGAUGAGCCCGCGUUGGAUUAGCUAGUUGGUGGGGUAAUGGCCUACCAAGGCGACGAUCCAUAGCUGGUCUGAGAGGAUGAUCAGCCACACUGGGACUGAGACGCGGCCCAGACUCCUACGGGAGGCAGCAGUGGGGAAUAUUGGACAAUGGGCGAAAGCCUGAUCCAGCCAUGCCGCGUGAGUGAUGAAGGCCCUAGGGUUGUAAAGCUCUUUCAACGGUGAAGAUAAUGACGGUAACCGUAGAAGAAGCCCCGGCUAACUUCGUGCCAGCAGCCGCGGUAAUAAUC